UGCCAGCASNCCGCGGUAAUACGGAGGGUGCAAGCGUUAAUCGGAAUUACUGGGCGUAAAGCGUACCGUAGGUGGUUUGUUAAGCCAGCUGUGAAAUCCCCGGGCUCAACCUGGGCACUGCAGUUGGAACUGUCAAGCUAGAGUAGGGUAGAGGGGUGUGGAAUUCCAGGUGUAGCGGUGAAAUGCGUAGAUAUCUGGAGGAACAUCAGUGGCGAAGGCGACACCCUGGACUCAUACUGACACUGAGGUACGAAAGCGUGGGGAGCAAACAGGAUUAGAUACCCUGGUAGUCC
rnacentral:rRNA from 1 species